CAUCAGACCCCUCCAGCCGUCUGCAAAGCAUCCACUCCACAUUUUCCGCCUCCCACGCAUGAUCCGUGGCGUCCGUUCUCAGCGCCGGAUCCGUGACACGCUCCUCUUCCGCCAAUCUCACGGCUCCCAGGCAUAUCAAUCGAUCCUAGCUUUCGGAUCAAGCAGCAUCACCGCCCUGCCAUUCGCCUCACCCACAGCGCCUCCCAGCAGCCC
rnacentral:lncRNA from 1 species